UACGAAGGGGGCUAGCGUUGUUCGGAAUCACUGGGCGUAAAGCGCACGUAGGCGGAUCUUUAAGUCAGGGGUGAAAUCCCGAGGCUCAACCUCGGAACUGCCUUUGAUACUGGGGAUCUUGAGUUCGGGAGAGGUGAGUGGAACUGCGAGUGUAGAGGUGAAAUUCGUAGAUAUUCGCAAGAACACCAGUGGCGAAGGCGGCUCACUGGCCCGAUACUGACGCUGAGGCACGAAAGCGUGGGGAGCAAACAGGG
rnacentral:rRNA from 1 species